GGGUCAGUAGGUUGGUCGUGCCACCGGUACGUACUGGUCUCACUGAUUCCUCCUUCCUGAAGAACCGUAAUGCCAUUAAUUUGGUGUUGCGGGGAAACAGGACUGUUACUUUGAAAAAAUUAGAGUGUUUAAAGCAAGCUAACGCUUGAAUACAUUAGCAUGGAAUAAUGAAAUAGGACGAUCGAUCCUAUUUUGCUGGUUUCUAGGACUGACGUA
rnacentral:rRNA from 1 species